AGAGUUUGAUUAUGGCUCAGGACGAACGCUGGCGGCGUGCUUAACACAUGCAAGUCGAACGGGAGUAUCAAAGAAGCUUGCUUUUUAAGAUACUUUAGUGGCGGACGGGUGAGUAACGCGUGAGGAGCUGUCCUAUGCAGGGGGACAACAGUUGGAAACGGCUGCUAAUACCCCAUAAGCCGAGAGGUAAAAGGAUUAAUCCGGCAAAGGAGGCACUCGCGUCCUAUCAGCUAGUAGGUUGGGUAACGGCCGACCUAGGCGAAGACGGGUAGCCGGCCUGAGAGGGCGAACGGCCACACUGGAACUGAGAUACGGUCCAGACUCCUACGGGAGGCAGCAGUGGGGAAUAUUGGGCAAUGGGGGGAAACCCCCUGACCCAGCGACGCCGCGUGGGUGAAGAAAUCCUUCGGGAUGUAAAGCCCUGUUGUAUGGGAAGAGUAGAAGACGGUACCAUACGAGGAAGCCCCGGCAAACUACGUGCCAGCAGCCGC
rnacentral:rRNA from 1 species